GGAGAUGUAGCUCAGGGAUGGAGCAUGUGCCUAGCAUGCACAAUACCCUGGCUUCAAUCCCAGGUACCACCA
rnacentral:tRNA from 1 species